GGCAGAGGAGUCCCGGUUCGUGCCAGCGGUAGCUUAUCUAUCUGUUGGACAUGAGGAAAGUCCCCCCACCGUCCGGACGGGUGACCGGGCGCAAGCCCGGAGUCGGAGACGACUGGCUCUGGAACAGAAACGAGACCUCUCGGCCGACCGAUGAGCGUGUGCGAAUCCCGAGCGAGGCUGGUCGUGCCCCACCUGACGUGCGGCACGCGGCCAAAGCGAGGGAGAGCUAACCCACCGAGGGCAGUCGCGACCCGGUGACUCCGUGGCGCGCGUCGUGGACGGCAGUUGUGCUCGGCCGGGGCGUCUGAGACGCCACGCAUUCCGUCGGCCUCGACGAGCGCCACGCUUCCGUGACGACGAGACGGAUGGAACGGCGAAUCCUCACCGGUGCAAGUCCGCGCCGCUAAGGUAGUCCGGACAGCACGCGCGCAAGCGCUGGACGCGGACGCUCAGCCGAAUGCCGGGUCGAAACAGAAGGGGGCUUACUCCUCUCAGCC
rnacentral:RNase_P_RNA from 1 species